rnacentral:lncRNA from 1 species
UCCCAUUUUGAUGAGAUCUGCCGGUAUUCAAGAGGUACUUUGAACAUGCUGGCAUAUUCAACUAAUCGCAGUUGUGUGUAGUUCUUCCUUCCAUGUGGCUGGAAACCUGGCAGGGGCAGUUCUAUACCUGUAAUCCGAAGCUUAGGUGGCCCACCUUCUCUAUCUGCAAAUUGUUUCAAUAAUGAUGGCCACUGAAAGCCAAAGCAAAUGCCAAAAUCAACAAUGUGCACUUGUGAUUUUCCCUUUGAGACAUCAAGGAUGGUUUUGUUCGAGAAAUAAUAUGAUGAUCUCAAGUAAUGGGAUACUGUGAAACAAAGAUGGAAUAGCUUUAGAAUAUAUGCUGCAUUCCUUGGUGUAGCCAUGAAGUUUCGGUUUAUCUGACUCCCAUUUCCAGACAAUCUUAUCUCCAGGCAAUCUGCUAGGUAAAACGCUAACCUCUGAGUAUCAUCCCCACUUGGUGAAGAAUGCUGUCUUAUGCUUUUAAGUAUGUCACUUGCUAAGUUAUGGUUGUUCACAGAUACUGCUCGUGCACAAUGGAUAAGGAGAGUUCUUAGAUCCACCACCUCUUUCUUCUUUGUUUUACCUCCCUUCUUUUGCCUAGCUGCCUUUCUUCCUUGUUCUUUUUGUGCAUACCUGGUGGAUGUACCUGCCAUGGUUCGUUGCAAAAUAAUACCUUCAUCUAUGGGCUUCUGCUCAGAGCAGAGUAGGACCUUAUCGAAGGCGUCAUUUCGCGUUGGCUCAUCGGAGAAAAGAGCAAUCUGCUUGUUUCUCCUUCCUUCUAACAAAUCAAGCUCUUCUAUACCCGGAAAAACUUUUCGGCCUCGAUCAUGAAAUGGUGCAUGCCUCAUUGUUUCUCUGCUAUUCAUAUGAGGUGAAUGGCUAUCUGGACUCGUAUUUUUGGCAAUGGAAAGGCCAUUGAUGUUCAAACCAAUUUCCACUCUUUCAGAACCUAGAGGGAAUUGUUUUGCCUCUCCAAGAAUUGCAGAUAAAGUACAUGGAGCCUGUGAUGCUUGUGAGUUUUCAUUGGGGUGAUAAUCGUCGGAGCUGAUAUAUACAGAGCAAUUGCAGCAUAAUUGUCCAUGAAGCCUGCUGACGUUGCCAUUUAGGUUCUCUAGGUGACCACAUCCACAACGUGGUAGUAAGUCAGGCAAAAGUGGAUACUUUUGUCCUAAAAGUUCAUAGAAGGGUUCCUCCAUGGUUCUAAUGACAGUCUCGCCAUGAGGUGCUCUGACUUUGUCAUCAAUGUCCUGCAUCAACAUCUGUUCUAUGUAGCUGAGAGUUACAUCAGAGUCGGUCUUUGGGUGCUCCUCACAGCUCACAUUGCAGAAUUGGGGACCAAUCUUGUUGGAAGCAAUUGAUAGUGCAGGAUAGUAGCUCAUAGGGGCUGGUUGAUGCGAAAUAAACUCCGAAUCAUUGUACUUGACGGUACUUGCUUCUAUGAGCUCCUGAGAACAGCAUGCGCCACAGCAAGUCAUGUUUGCCAUGAUGCCGUGAAAAUCAGCCGAGCUGGGCUUGUCACUGGUACCCAUGGUGGUUGAUACAAUUUUUGCAGUGUCUAUGGCUGCACUUUGCUCCACAUUUUCCUGGAUUAAAUGAAGUGUGAACAGCAGAAGAACAAAAGGAGGAAGCUGGAAUACACGAGAUAUUCCUCUAGUACAUCAAGCUGAAAUUAAUAUGAAAGACAUUGUGUGGUCAUGUGGUGUUAUGCUUUGUGAGCAGUCUCCAUGUGGUUUGUUUGUACCGGUCUUCAUCCGAUUUUUCGUUAAUUAAUUGAGCAAUUCUCUUGUGCUUUAUUAAUUGACGAGGCAAAUCUUUUGUUUCCGUUUCAAUUUUGAAAUAAUAAUAAUAUAGGAGACAUUGACAUCUUUCCUAGGAUUUAUUGAAGUGAUACCAAGAUUUUAUUAACAAACACGUGGGUGAGGGGGGGGGGGGGMCGUAUAUCAUUCAGAAGCGCCAUUUCUGCCGGGACUCACAGUGGGUGAUAGCCAAUUUCAGAACUUAAAAAGGAUGCAUAUACGAGUUAGUAUGCUACUAGAAACCACGGUAACAGAUCAUUAUUAUUUUUUAUUUUCAAGAUCACAGUAACAGUUCAUGGCUAUGGAAAAAUCAUAACCAGACAUCACGCCUAGCUGCUUAAGAAGUAUCUCCGAUAAUGGACAUGUUAAGACAUUAUCAGCAAAAAUGAAAAGAGUGACUUACCAUUGAUUAUUGCCUGCAGGGAUGACACAAAAUUCCGCAGGCUGCCAGAAUUCGCUGGACUGGUCGCCUUAUGAGAUUGUGGACUUGAAAUGAAUCGAAAGCCAGGGGCGUGUCGGAAGGAGGAUGGAACGGGCUAAGCGGCACUAUUUCAAGUGUGCUGAGGGAAGCAACAAGCAAGAAGAGGAUGUCUGAUGUUUUAUGUGAGCUGAUGGUGAGUUCGCCGAGGUAUGGACGUUGAUAUAGUGAUGGAAUUCAUCGUUGUGAUGACCUGUACCGAUGCCGGAGGCAGAAACAAACAAGAUCUGCAGAUAGGCUAGCUAGGCGGCAUUAUGGAGGCCAAUCGACUGUGUCAAACGCCAAUUAGGCUAAUGGAUUUGUUUAUUGCAGUUGUGGAAGCUGGAGCCUUUGGAUCCUCAGCGAGGCUCGAAGUAUGCUAAAUAU